GACGAACGCUGGCGGCGUGCCUAAUACAUGCAAGUAGAACGCUGAAGGAGGAGCUUGCUUCUCCGGAUGAGUUGCGAACGGGUGAGUAACGCGUAGGUAACCUGCCUGGUAGCGGGGGAUAACUAUUGGAAACGAUAGCUAAUACCGCAUAAGAGUAGAUGUCGCAUGACAUUUGCUUAAAAGGUGCAACUGCACCACUACCAGAUGGACCUGCGUUGUAUUAGCUAGUUGGUGAGGUAACGGCUCACCAAGGCAACGAUACAUAGCCGACCUGAGAGGGUGAUCGGCCACACUGGGACUGAGACACGGCCCAGACUCCUACGGGAGGCAGCAGUAGGGAAUCUUCGGCAAUGGACGGAAGUCUGACCGAGCAACGCCGCGUGAGUGAAGAAGGUUUUCGGAUCGUAAAGCUCUGUUGUAAGAGAAGAACGAGUGUGAGAGUGGAAAGUUCAUACUGUGACGGUAUCUUACCAGAAAGGGACGGCUAACUACGUG
rnacentral:rRNA from 1 species